AGGAUUAGAUACCCGGGUAGUCCCAGCUGUAAACGAUGCAGGCUAGGUGUUUGGACGGCCACGUGCCGUUCUAGUGCCGCAGGGAAGCUGUUAAGCCUGCCGCCUGGGGAGUACGGUCGCAAGAUUGAAACUUAAAGGAAUUGGCGGGGGAGCACCACAAGGGGUGAAGCUUGCGGUUUAAUUGGAGUCAACGCCGGAAAUCUCACCGGGAGCGACAGCAGUAUGAAAGCCAGAUUGAAGGUCUUGCUAGACGAGCUGAGAGGAGGUGCAUGGCCGUCGCCAGUUCGUGCCGUGAGGUGUCCUGUUAAGUCAGGCAACGAUCGAGACCCGCGUCCUCUGUUGCAACCAGCUUUGAGCUGGGCACACUGAGGAGACCGCCACUGAUAAAGUGGAGGAAGGAGCGGGCCACGGCAGGUCAGUAUGCCCCGAAUCUCCCGGGCCACACGCGAGCUGCAAUGGCAAGUACAAUGGGUUCCGACCUCGAAAGGGGGAGGCAAUCUCGAAAGCUUGCCGUAGUUGGAAUUGAGGGUUGAAACCCACCCUCAUGAACAUGGAAUCCCUAGUAAUCGCGUGUCAUUAGCGCGCGGUGAAUACGUCCCUGCUCCUUGCACACACCGCCCGUCGUUCCAUCCGAGUGACUCUUGGGUGAGGUACCGUCUAAUUGGCGGCAUCGAAUCUAAGUUUCACAAGGAGGGAAAAGUCGUAACAAG
rnacentral:rRNA from 1 species